GACGAACGCUGGCGGCGUGCCUAAUACAUGCAAGUAGAACGCACAGUUUAUACCGUAGCUUGCUACACCAUAGACUGUGAGUUGUGAACGGGUGAGUAACGCGUAGGUAACCUGCCUGGUAGCGGGGGAUAACUAUUGGAAACGAUAGCUAAUACCGCAUAAUAUUGAUUAUUGCAUGAUAAUUAAUUGAAAGGUGCAAUUGCACCACUACCAGAUGGACCUGCGUUGUAUUAGCUAGUAGGUGAGGUAACGGCUCACCUAGGCGACGAUACAUAGCCGACCUGAGAGGGUGAUCGGCCACACUGGGACUGAGACACGGCCCAGACUCCUACGGGAGGCAGCAGUAGGGAAUCUUCGGCAAUGGACGAAAGUCUGACCGAGCAACGCCGCGUGAGUGAAGAAGGGUUUCGGAUCGUAAAGCUCUGUUGUAAGAGAAGAACGGGUGUGAGAGUGGAAAGUUCACACUGUGACGGUAUCUUACCAGAAAGGGACGGCUAACUACGUG
rnacentral:rRNA from 1 species